rnacentral:rRNA from 1 species
UACGGAGGGGGCUAGCGUUGUUCGGAAUUACUGGGCGUAAAGCGCACGUAGGCGGCUUGGCAAGUCGGAUGUGAAAUCCCUCGGCUCAACCAAGGAAGUGCAUCCGAAACUGCUGAGCUUGAGUACUUAAGAGGAUCGCGGAAUUCCCGGUGUAGAGGUGAAAUUCGUAGAUAUCGGGAGGAACACCUGUGGCGAAAGCGGCUCACUGGACCACAACUGACGCUGAUGCGCGAAAGCUAGGGGAGCAAACAGG